GAUGAAGAACGCAGCGAAAUGCGAUAAGUAAUGUGAAUUGCAGAAUUCAGUGAAUCAUCGAAUCUUUGAACGCACCUUGCGCCCUUUGGCUAUUCCGAAGGGCAUGCCUGUUUGAGUAUCAUGAACACCUCAACUCUCAUGGUUUGCCAUGAUGAGCUUGGACUCUGGGGGUCUUGCUGGCCUAUGGUCAGCUCCUCUCAAAUAAAUCAGCUUGCCAGUGUUUGGUGGCAUCACAGGUGUGAUAACUAUCUACGCUUGUGGUUUUCCAUCAGGUAACCUUCAGUGAUGGAGGUUCGCUGGAGCUCAUAAAUGUCCCUCCUCAGCGAGGACAGCUUUUUGAACGUUUGAUCUCAAAUCAGGUAGGACUACCCGCCGAACUUAAGCAUAUCAAUAAGCGGAGGA
rnacentral:misc_RNA from 1 species